rnacentral:lncRNA from 1 species
CCCUCUCCCUCUCUUAGUUUGCACAAUUGUGUGCGCAACAAGGCAUAAAAUAUGCACAAGAAUAAGGUAAAACAAUACAGCCAUACAGGAGAAUCGAUAGACAAAUAAAAAAUGUUCAAGGAUCCUAAAAUGGCAAUCAAACCAUUCUAUAAUUUUUUCCUACCAAAAAGAAAAUCAUUCUAUAAUUUGUGUUAGAGGAGAGGAUAUGAUGGGUCCCACGAAUGGUGGGACGUUGUCGAGGAAAAAAUAAUGUUACCAUGGGAGCCACGCAACGCGUUCCAUACCAUCUUAGUUUGCUGGCAAGGGCUCCACUUCGGCCCCGUUUUAGAACUUCCAUUGACGGUGAUGCCUCUCCUGGACAUUAUUGAGAUGAAUUCAAAUUUGGCCCACAA